UCAAUGUCAAUUGUCUUGGUCGCUUUCAUUCCAGUUGCCCAAUUGCAUUUAAGAUGGUUUGUUGUGUGUUAUCCACAUGGGAGGUAAAAAGAUGGAGUUAUUUUAAAUAAGAUGAUGCAUGUUACUGAAUGUCAAAGACAUAAUUCACUGAAACCUUUGAGGUUAAACACAAUCUGUUCUUCUGGUCAACCUAAUUUCUUUCCAUUGGACAUAAUUGAAAUCUAAUCUUUUCCAGAGUCAAACUGUAGCUAUCAUAAAACCAGUUAUCUUAUAUUUCAAGGAACAAUGUAACAUCCUCAGCUGUCAUCAAAGUGUAAAAAUAACCACUAGUAUCUUAAAAAAAAAAAGAACAUUUUAAAAACUACGUUGACAGAAGUGUAGGGCACUGUAGAAAUGUAUGAGGGCAUUAAACUUCAGUGGUUCCACAAAAUUUCAUAAACACAUUACCG